rnacentral:misc_RNA from 1 species
GCUGCAAAAAAGUGCAAGAAUUUGGAAAUGAACAAGCAAAGGAGGAAAUUUUACUACUGAAUGAACAGGAAACUACAUCCAGUUAAUGUUUCUUCAUUUCUAUCCUACUAAAAGAAACAAGCAAAAAGUUGAGGUCCAAAAGAAAUCUACUCGUACUCUUCCUGAUAUUCUCCCUCCUCAUCCUCAUAGCCUUCUUCAUCAGCUGUUGCAUCUUGGUAUUGCUGAUACUCCGAAACCAGAUCAUUCAUGUUGCUCUCAGCCUCGGUGAACUCCAUCUCAUCCAUCCCUUCCCCAGUAUACCAAUGCAAGAAAGCCUUCCUCCUAAACAUGGCUGUGAAUUGCUCGCUCACACGCCUAAACAUCUCCUGUAUGGAUGUGGAAUUGCCAAUAAAUGUGGCUGCCAUCUUAAGACCUGUAGGCGGGAUAUCACAAACAGUUGAUUUCACAUUGUUUGGAAUCCACUCCACAAAGUAGGAAGAGUUCUUGUUCUGCACAUUCAGCAUCUGCUCAUCAACUUCCUUUGUACUCAUCUUGCCACGGAACAUAGCUGAGGCUGUCAAAUAACGACCAUGUCUUGGGUCAGCUGCGCACAUCAUGUUCUUUGCAUCCCACAUUUGCUGAGUGAGCUCAGGAACAGUUAGAGCUCGGUACUGCUGUGACCCACGCGAAGUAAGAGGGGCAAAACCCACCAUGAAGAAGUGAAGACGUGGGAAUGGAAUGAGGUUCACUGCAAGCUUUCUGAGAUCUGAGUUCAACUGGCCAGGGAACCUCAAGCAGCAUGUAACUCCAGACAUGGUUGCAGAUAUCAAGUGAUUCAAGUCACCAAAACUGGGAGUGGUGAGCUUCAGUGUCCGGAA